GACGAACGCUGGCGGCGUGCCUAAUACAUGCAAGUCGAGCGGACUUUCAAGAAGCUUGCUUUUUGAAAGUUAGCGGCGGACGGGUGAGUAACACGUGGGCAACCUGCCUGCAAGACGGGGAUAACUCCGGGAAACCGGGGCUAAUACCGGAUAAUAUCUUCCUUCGCAUGAAGGAAGGUUGAAAGGCGGCGCAAGCUGCCGCUUGCAGAUGGGCCCGCGGCGCAUUAGCUAGUUGGUGAGGUAACGGCUCACCAAGGCGACGAUGCGUAGCCGACCUGAGAGGGUGAUCGGCCACACUGGGACUGAGACACGGCCCAGACUCCUACGGGAGGCAGCAGUAGGGAAUCUUCCGCAAUGGACGAAAGUCUGACGGAGCAACGCCGCGUGAGCGAAGAAGGUCUUCGGAUCGUAAAGCUCUGUUGUCAGGGAAGAACAAGUACCGUUCGAACAGGGCGGUACCUUGACGGUACCUGACCAGAAAGCCGCGGCUAACUACGUG
rnacentral:rRNA from 1 species